CAGGCGCCCCCUAAUUUGCAAUUUUUAGAAACGUCCCCAUUUGCUAGAAAAGGCCAUCGGCGGCUGGGUUUGCCUGGGGACCUCCAUUUCCCCUCUCCGUUGGCUGCUCUGGGUUCCCUCUUGGUUCUCCUUAGAACACUGUGCCUCCCCGAGGCCUCCCGUGACCCAAAAUAGCCACAAGCGGGCUAUUUUUGCAGGACGCUGAUAGCACAGGUCUGAGGGGCCAGGAGACGGGUCGGUGCUGGGGUUGGAUCCUGUAUUAUCCUUUAUCAUCCGACGCUGCGUGGGCUCAGAGCGGGGGACUGGAGGCCUUCAAGAAGCCCAGGAAUGUUCCCACUGCGUUGCCGAUUUUCCAGAAUCGCUUCAAAGUAAGAAACAGUGCCAGGUGGAGAUCAUGCUACCCCGGGAGGAUGGGACAAGACCACGUGACCUCUACGGUCUUCUUGCGAACACCCAGAGCCCUGGCCCAACCACGCGAAGAACGGCAGGCCGGCCCCGACUGGAGGACAUCUCCCAAAACCUCUGAGCCGAGUCCCCCAAAUGGCCAGGUCAGCAAAUCCAAGGAAUGAUGGAAAAAGCGUCACAACCCCGAGGAGCGAGGAAGCACGGCACGUGUCCCGGACAGGACCCUGGAGCAGGGAAGGGACGGAAAACCUGGUGAAGUCCACGUAAAGUCUAGAAUUUAGUGAAUAAUAAUGUGCCGAUGUCAGGUUCUUAGUUUGGAACCCGGUCGCGGAGAAGGGUGACGUUCCGGGAAAUUCAGGAAAUUCAAACUGAGGGAGGGAUAAUCCGGGAACUCUCUGUACAGCCUCUGCACCUUUUCUUCAGAGUUCAAGGGCACCCUUGAAGUGCACAGGGAGCCCAGGGAGCUUGUAUGUACAGAAAUGUGCAAAGUAAAAAAUUCAAACCUGC